CUCUACAGGAGCAUGCUGCUCUAUUACAGUUUUUACUAUGGUUAAUCCAUGGGUAUUCAGGGCUUGUUUAUAGCUUCCGUGAGCUGGGAGAGUGAGAGUUUCUCCCUGAGGACGCAUCCAUCCUUGACUGACGAUAGCUCCUGGACUGGCAUAGAUUCUCCAGGUAAUUGUGUGCCUACAGCCAGCCUUCUGCAGCGAGGCCCAGCUCCUCUGUUCUCCUCUUUGUGUUAAAUCACAGCACAGGCUUAAAAACAACCAAAAAAGGGGGCUUAGACUACACAGCACACACAGACAUGCACAUGCCAUAGAUGGCAUAUAGAAACUGGGGUCCUGCUGGGUUGCUUCAGCUGCACUCAUGUCCCCUGAGAAGGGAGAGCUCCACCCUGAGCUUCACCAGUGAGGAGGAAUUCAGACACCCAGCUCAGCAGCCUGCCCAGAACUCUGCUAACCGCUCCAGCGUGUCACCUGUUCAAGAACAACGCAUUCCCCCUCCUCCUUUGGGUGCUUUGUUUACUGGUUUCUGGGAGGCCAGCUGACAGAGCAAACCCACCAUCUCAGAGGAGGCAAACCUGUUAAUUGUGUCCACUUAGAAUGCCCAGUGUCUUUUUUCUCCACUCACAUUGCCUUUCCUCUGAGGGGCUAGGAAAAGCCACACUCCACUGGCUGCUAUCUGAUGUCAACACCAGCUUCCUACUUCAGAGUUGCUCUGAGUCCAUGCACAGUGGAUACCUGUGUUUCUGAUCUGCCAGGAAGCAACCAAGGGCAUCUCCGUUCUCUGGCUCCAGCUUUACAGCUUGCCUCUCUCACUCUGCUCUUCUCUUUUUCUGGGAUGCUUUCUCUUUCUCUUGCAUUUGACAAGAUAUGAAGUAACUUGGCAAGGAACAAGAUGCCAAGCUGACACUAAAGGUAUCCAAACAGGGAUUCAAGUUUCCAGGACUGGAUAAAAGGCCCAGUCUUUUACUUCAGUUGGACAUCAAAGGUACACCCACAAUGACACAUCAUAACCUGCUUGGCUUGCUAAAGGUAUUUGCAUCACAUCAUCAGAGAUUCUGAAUUUUCUCUCCUGACAAGUGGCUUGCAGACAAAUUUACGUAAAAAUCUCCAUUAUCUAGAUAUCUAUAACCAGUCUACCCAUAAGCCAGGGUAUGGGUAUGGGUAUCCUUCAAGUGAUAUCUUUGAGGUAUGAAGAACCAGGUAAAGAUGCCAGAGGCUACAGUAGAAAACAUUGAGAAGAUGGAGCAGAAAACAAAUCCACAGACUGAAACAGACAUGCACGUGCCAAGGGCAUAGGUUAAUAUUACCAUUAUUAAAAGCAGUGUGGAAAAUU